GCCUAUGCUUCCCUAAAGGCGCCUUCUGAUCUUGAAAGCUAAGUAGGGUCAGUCCUGGUUAGAACUUGGAUGGGAGACCAACAAGGAAUACCAUGUGCCGUAGGCU
rnacentral:rRNA from 1 species